UGAGGAACAUGACCUUCGGCGGGGAUAGCCGGCCCAACGGCCGGGUAAUACCGCGUACGACCACU
rnacentral:rRNA from 1 species